UUUACUAGUUCAGAGUGAAUGACAGUGAUGAUCAAUUUAGGAACCUUUUUAGUCUAUGUUAAUUACCAAACCAUGCAUAUAGUGAACCUUAAGAAACUAACCUUAGAUAGGGCCAUACCAUUUUUGUUGAUUAUACCAUGAAUUAGGACACAUGAGGGAAUAUUUAUUUUAAUAUGAUCACUAACCCUAUUUUGUUUUGUUUUCCUUUUGUUUCAUGAUCAUGCAUCAUCAUAAACACUUGCAUAUGGG
rnacentral:lncRNA from 1 species